AUAUCAAUAAGCGGAGGAAAAGAAACUAACAAGGAUUCCCCUAGUAACUGCGAGUGAAGCGGGAAAAGCUCAAAUUUGAAAAUCUGGUGGUCUUUGCCACCGUCCGAGUUGUAAUUCUGGAGAAGCGUUUUCCGCGCUGGACCGUGUACAAGUCUCCUGGAACAUGGAGCGUCAUAGAGGGUGAGAAUCCCGUCUUUGAGCACGAUGCACCAGGGCUUAUUGUCGAUGCGCUCUCGAAGAGUCGAGUUGUUUGGGAAUGCAGCUCAAAAUGGGUGGUGAACUCCAUCUAAAGCUAAAUAUUGGCGAGAGACCGAUAGCGAACAAGUACCGUGAGGGAAAGAUGAAAAGCACUUUGGAAAGAGAGUGAAAACAGUAC
rnacentral:rRNA from 1 species